rfam:Hordeum vulgare subsp. vulgare, WGS project CAJW01000000 data, contig: morex_contig_45014
UUUGUACUCCCUUCGUCCCAAAAAUUUUGUCUUAAAUUUAUCUAAAAACGGAUGUAUCAAAAUAUUGAAACGUGACUAGAUACAUUCAUAUCUAGACAAAUCUAAGACAAAAAUUUUAAGACGGAGGAAGUAUGAU